AAUAACCAAAUAUAACACCGGGGCUAAGGGUCAAAUUGGUAAUUUUCCUUACAUUCCCCCCUAGGGGGGCAGGUAUCGUAUACACCGCCAAAAUAAAGAGCCUUGAGUACUUGAAUAAAAGCACCUAGACCUAACAAAAUUAAGUGAAUAUCCAAAAUUGUAGUCAUUUUAUUUCUAUCUUUCCA
rnacentral:antisense_RNA from 2 species